AAAUAAGUAAGCUAAAAAAGCUAUUGGGUUCAUACCCCACCUAUAAAGGUUCACUCCUUUCUUAUUUA
rnacentral:tRNA from 1 species